AACGAACGCUGGCGGCAUGCCUAACACAUGCAAGUCGAACGAGACCUUCGGGUCUAGUGGCGCACGGGUGCGUAACGCGUGGGAACCUGCCCUUAGGUUCGGAAUAACUCCCCGAAAGGGGUGCUAAUACCGGAUAAUGUCUUCGGACCAAAGGUUUAUCGCCUUUGGAUGGGCCCGCGUUGGAUUAGCUAGUUGGUAGGGUAAAAGCCUACCAAGGCGACGAUCCAUAGCUGGUCUGAGAGGAUGAUCAGCCACACUGGGACUGAGACACGGCCCAGACUACUACGGGAGGAAGCAGUGGGGAAUAUUGGAAAAGGGGGGAAAGCCUGAUACAGCAAUGGCGGGUGAGUGAUGAAGGGCUUAGGGUUGUAAAGCUCUUUUACCCGGGAUGAUAAUGACAGUACCGGGAGAAUAAGCUCCGGCUAACUCCGUG
rnacentral:rRNA from 1 species